AUUCCCUGUACGCUGCUUCCAGAUCCUCUGUUCGUGCUUGUUCGUUCCUCUCUCUCUUGACUAGGUUUAGCGAUUACAACCAAAAAGAGGGGAAAAUUGGAGUGAGGUGGUGGAGCAGCAGCACAGCGCCGACGCCGGCAACCGGGGUCCAGGCCUCCAGGGGUCGGCCAGGGAGUCGUCGCACCCUGCGGGCGCCGCCGCACGGGCACGGGGCUGGCUGCCGACGGUGCGCCCCAGCGGCUACUGCCCGCGACUUGGACUGAAUCAAUCCCUUCUCUUCGGCUGUUUCCCUGCCAAGCACACUGUAAUGGGAAAGGCCACUCAGAGAAGAAUUUUUCAGAAGAAGUCGCACGAUAUUGUAAAUGCUGUUCGCCCAGUAUCCUCAACAAAAGAGUGUCUUCAAGAGCUAAGAUCAGAUGAUGGCUACCAACAAUUCAUUGACACUGUUAUUGAAUUUUGUGUAAGCCACUCCAUUGACAUUCCUGACUUUGAGUAAACAUACAUCCUGCGUGGCGGCCGUGCACGUCAUCAGCCUGAUCAGUUCACCAAGGAGCAUUACUUUCGAGUGGAAAUUUUCCGUGCAACUUUGGACACUCAACUAUUUGAAUUGAAUCGAAGGUUCAAUGAGAAGGUAAUGGGUCUUCUAUCUACUAGUGCCACUUUGAUUCCUAGAAACAAAUUCAAAGGGUUCAAAGCUAGUGAUAUAUGUGAGAUGGUGAAAAAGUAUUACCCGGCAGAUUUCCCGCAAGAUAUUUACGGAUUACAACAACAACUGAAACAUUUUGUUUUGGAUGCUUCCAAAGAUGAGGAAUUGAAGAAAAUAUCAACCUUGAUUGAUCUUUGUCGAUGCCUUGUGGAGACGGGAAGACAUAUUAUCUACAAUUUGAUUGAUAGAUUACUCCGUUUGCUUAUCACUCUUCCAGUUUCUACGGCAAGCGCUGAACGUGCAUUUUCUAGUUUAAAGAUUAUUAAAACAAGGUUACGCAAUAAGAUGGAAGAUGAUAAUCUGGCCAACAACAUGUUAGUUCACAUAGAGGGUGCUAUUCUGGACGAUUACAAGUAUGAUGAUGUCAUUUUUUAUUUUAAAAGCAUCAAGGAUCGGGCAGCUGACUUGUAGACACAUGUACUGUCUAGUUUAUUUUUGUGUAGCUUUUUUUGCUGUAUACUGCAUAUAUGGAUGUUUCUCCUGAUUUUGUAAGCAGUGUGACCAAAAUGAUUGGAUCGAUGAGUAAUUUUCUAAUGAACGGGUGUGUUUGGGAA